ACGCAGGGUUAGUCGGUCCCUAAGGCGAGGCUGAAAAGCGUAGUCGAUGGAAAACAGGUUAAUAUUCCUGUACUUCCAGUUAUUGCGAUGGAGGGACGGAGAAGGUUAGGCCAGCCUGGCGUUGGUUGUCCAGGUUUAAGGUGGUAGGCUGAAAUCUUAGGCAAAUCCGGGAUUUCAAGGCCGAGAGCUGAUGACGAGUUGCCUUUAGGCGACGAAGUGGUUGAUACCAUGCUUCCAAGAAAAGCUCCUAAGCUUCAGAUAACUGGGAACCGUACCCCAAACCGACACAGGUGGUUAGGUAGAGAAUACCAAGGCGCUUGAGAGAACUCGGGUGAAGGAACUAGGCAAAAUGGCACCGUAACUUCGGGAGAAGGUGCGCCGGCGAGGGUKAAGGACUUGCUCCGUAAGCCCAUGCCGGUCGAAGAUACCAGGCCGCUGCGACUGUUUAUUAAAAACACAGCACUCUGCAAACACGAAAGUGGACGUAUAGGGUGUGACGCCUGCCCGGUGCCGGAAGGUUAAUUGAUGGGGUUAGCGCAAGCGAAGCUCUUGAUCGAAGCCCCGGUAAACGGCGGCCGUAACUAUAACGGUCCUAAGGUAGCGAAAUUCCUUGUCGGGUAAGUUCCGACCUGCACGAAUGGCGUAACGAUGGCGGCGCUGUCUCCACCCGAGACUCAGUGAAAUUGAAAUCGCUGUGAAGAUGCAGUGUAUCCGCGGCUAGACGGAAAGACCCCGUGAACCUUUACUAUAGCUUUGCACUGGACUUUGAAUUUGCUUGUGUAGGAUAGGUGGGAGGCUUUGAAGUGGGGACGCCAGUUCUCAUGGAGCCAUCCUUGAAAUACCACCCUGGCAACUUUGAGGUUCUAACUCAGGUCCGUUAUCCGGAUCGAGGACAGUGUAUGGUGGGUAGUUUGACUGGGGCGGUCUCCUCCCAAAGAGUAACGGAGGAGUACGAAGGUGCGCUCAGACCGGUCGGAAAUCGGUCGUAGAGUAUAAAGGCAAAAGCGCGCUUGACUGCGAGACAAACACGUCGAGCAGGUACGAAAGUAGGUCUUAGUGAUCCGGUGGUUCUGUAUGGAAGGGCCAUCGCUCAACGGAUAAAAGGUACUCCGGGGAUAACAGGCUGAUACCGCCCAAGAGUUCAUAUCGACGGCGGUGUUUGGCACCUCGAUGUCGGCUCAUCACAUCCUGGGGCUGAAGCCGGUCCCAAGGGUAUGGCUGUUCGCCAUUUAAAGUGGUACGCGAGCUGGGUUUAGAACGUCGUGAGACAGUUCGGUCCCUAUCUGCCGUGGACGUUUGAGAUUUGAGAGGGGCUGCUCCUAGUACGAGAGGACCGGAGUGGACGAACCUCUGGUGUUCCGGUUGUCACGCCAGUGGCAUUGCCGGGUAGCUAUGUUCGGAAGAGAUAACCGCUGAAAGCAUCUAAGCGGGAAACUUGCCUCAAGAUGAGAUCUCACUGGGAUCUUGAAUCCCCUAAAGGGCCGUCGAAGACUACGACGUUGAUAGGUUGGGUGUGUAAGCGCUGUGAGGCGUUGAGCUAACCAAUACUAAUUGCCCGUGAGGCUUGACCAUAUAACACCCAAGCAAUU
rnacentral:rRNA from 1 species